CACGUAGUUAGCCGAUCCUUAUUCAUUAGUUACCGUCAUAUUCUUCACUAAUAAAAGCAGUUUACGAUCCGAAAACCUUCAUCCUGCACGCGGCGUUGCUCCAUCAGGCUUUCGCCCAUUGUGGAAGAUUCCUUACUGCUGCCUCCCGUAGGAGUCUGGACCGUGUCUCAGUUCCAGUCUGGCUGGUCAUCCUCUCAGACCAACUAAAGAUCGUCGCCUUGGUGAGCCUUUACCUCACCAACUAGCUAAUCUUACGCAGGCCACUCCCAAAGCGCCCGAAGGCUUUAAUCCGAAGAUCAUAUGCGGUAUUAGACACCGUUUCCGGUGCUUAUCCCUCACUUUGGGGUAUGUUCCCACGCGUUACUCAGCCGUCCGCCGCUCCUUCACAAUAUGUUCCUCGAAAACGAGAAGCACACAGUGAAGGCGCUCGACUUGCAUGUAUUAGGCACGCCGCCAGCGUUCAUCCUGAGCCAGGAUCAAACUCU
rnacentral:rRNA from 1 species